UCCCACAUGGUCUAGCGUUUAGGAUUCCUGGUUUUUACCCAGGAGGCCCAGGUUUGACUCCUGGUAUGGGAA